rnacentral:tRNA from 1 species
GGAGUCGUGGUUCAAUGGUAAAGCAUCUGCUUUGCAUGCAGAAGGUCCCCGGUUCAAUCUCCAACAUCUCCA